rnacentral:rRNA from 1 species
UGAGGAAUAUUGGUCAAUGGGCGCAAGCCUGAACCAGCCAUCCCGCGUGAAGGAUGACGGCCCUAUGGGUUGUAAACUUCUUUUAUACAGGAAGAAAAAUCUCUACGUGUAGGGACUUGCCGGUACUGUAUGAAUAAGCAUCGGCUAACUCCGUGCCAGCAGCCGCGGUAAUACGGAGGAUGCAAGCGUUAUCCGGAUUCAUUGGGUUUAAAGGGUGCGUAGGCGGCUCUUUAAGUCAGUGGUGAAAUCCUGUCGCUCAACGAUAGAAUUGCCAUUGAUACUGAAGAGCUUGAGUUCAGUUGAGGUAAGCGGAAUGUGUAGUGUAGCGGUGAAAUGCUUAGAUAUUACACAGAACACCGAUUGCGAAGGCAGCUUACUAAACUGACACUGACGCUGAUGCACGAAAGCGUGGGGAUCGAACAGG